AUCGUUCAAUCUGUUAAUUCAGAUCGGAAGUAAGUUCAAACUGAAGGAACGCGGA
ncrna:unclassified sequences Glutamine riboswitch